rnacentral:misc_RNA from 1 species
CAGGAGCUUUAAAAACUCCCAAACCCAUUGUAAACUUUACCUUUGUUGCUUCGGCAGGCGGCCCCUGGGAGGGGCCUGAAGCCUCGUUUAGAGGCGCCUGCCGGAGGUAUUUUAAAACUCUUUCAGUUGUAUGUCUGAGUCAAUAUCAAAUAAAUCA